UUUAUGCGUCGAAUCUUGGUCGCGUCGAAUGCAAUUAAGACAAUAGAUGAUGAGAUGAUAAACCUGAUUAAGCUUCAUUAUCUAUUGUUUGAAUUGCAUUCGACGCGACCAAAUUCGACGUAUAAA